UUGAACGCUGGCGGCAUGCCUUACACAUGCAAGUCGAACGGCAGCACGGGGGCAACCCUGGUGGCGAGUGGCGAACGGGUGAGUAAUACAUCGGAACGUGCCCUGAAGUGGGGGAUAACUACGCGAAAGCGUAGCUAAUACCGCAUACGCCCUGAGGGGGAAAGCGGGGGACCUUCGGGCCUCGCGCGAUUGGAGCGGCUGAUGUCGGAUUAGCUAGUUGGUGGGGUAAAGGCCUACCAAGGCGACGAUCCGUAGCUGGUCUGAGAGGAUGAUCCGUCACACUGGAACUGAGACACGGUCCAGACUCCUACGGGAGGCAGCAGUGGGGAAUUUUGGACAAUGGGGGCAACCCUGAUCCAGCCAUUCCGCGUGAGUGAAGAAGGCCUUCGGGUUGUAAAGCUCUUUCAGCCGGAACGAAACGGUACGCUCUAACAUAGCGUGCUAAUGACGGUACCGGCAGAAGAAGCACCGGCUAACUACGU
rnacentral:rRNA from 1 species